ACCCGGGUCCCAGGCAGAUCGCAGCCUGUCCAGCUGCUGACAAUAAAUGGAGCCUACAGAGCGAGGCAGCCGUAUGGCUUUCUCAGAAAGAUUUGUUUUUUGUGUUAUUCAGUUAGGCAGGGAACGUCUGCGAGUAACCAAACACGCCUGAAGACCCUUUGAGAGAUGAAGGACUAUCAACACCAAGAGCAUGGCUUCGGGAGCCGUUCUGCCUGGAUUCAGGGCGUCAUUACACGCCUGGCCUGAGAAAAGUUGCCAAGAAUCUCUAUGCCUCAGUCUUCUCUGUCGUAAAAUGGGAAAAUCUAACUCACAGGCAAGAAUUCAGUGAAUUUUGCUUAAAGUGCUGGCAUAGGGUAAACGCCACGGCUAUUGAGUCACCCAGCUUUGCCAGAGCCAAGAGGUCAUUACAAAACUUUGCUCUCUGUAUUUUGUCAGCUGUCUUUCUGUUCGCUCUUGUUUCUGUGGAGACCUGUUUCAUCUCAUGACACACGUGGAGCCUCAUGGCUGCCUUCAAAUGGAAGCCCAACCCCCAGCCUACAGCCUCUGCUAGGCCACCACAGACAGCAGACCCAGUCUCCGUGCCCAGUUGUAUCAGGGCACCACCCCAACCUCAGGAUCUCUGUAAGAAGUGGCACCUUCUGGUCCAUAGGGCUACCCCUUCUGUGUCUCUGGGUAGUCUUUGGUCUCCACGAAGAGAAUGUGCUCAGCAGGUGGAAAUAAUGGACAUGUCUGGUGCUGUGUCCUGAGGAUAAGGUCAUCCCAGGCACACUGGACACCCAGGUCAAGACAGCAGACAGUGGCUAGACUCUGAGUCAUCAGUGGAGAGGGAAUUUUCCAUUUUACCCAACUGUCUAGGCUUCCACGGACUCAAGACCAGGGCAAGACUCAGCACACGGGUAGUAGGAUUUUACAGCAGACCUAUGGGUGGGCCACGGUGGGUGGUAACUGACAUCAUGUACAGAAAUAACUAUAAUAUAAACAUGGAAGGAUUCACUUAUUUCAACCCAUUUGCUCACUUGUUCAACAAAUAUUUAUUGAGUGACUUCUAAGUGCCAUGCUAAGGAAUAUGCAAUUUUUUAUUAAUAGUAGAAACACACAUUUUCUUAAAAGAGAUGAGGAAUAUUUUUGUAAUCUCAGAAGUAAUGCUCUUAACCCAGUUCUCUAUGUAAAUAAUCCAUUUAUUAUGGUGCUCCUCUGAUGGUAGCGACAAAUCUUGUUGGAUGUCUUAAUCAUAUUAUUUAAAAGUUACUAUUAUUCAACUGACUCACUAUGAUCCUUAUACAAAACAAUCCCUGGAAAUUGGCAGUGAUUCUAUAAAAUAUUUCAUACAUACAUUUAUUUGUAUCUAUCUACAUAUAUAUAUACACAUAAAAUAUAUAACAUAAUAAAAUGAAAACCCAUAUAUUCACCAAUAGGCUUAAGAAAUAGAAUUAUAGCAAUUUCUCUGAAGCCUCCUGUGUGCCCCUCCCAGGUUGGGAUCCCCAUCCCUCCCUGAAAAGUAGACCGCUCUUCUGAAUUUGGUGUGAAUGAAUCGUUCUCUUACCUUACUUCAUAGGUUUUAUUAUAUGUGAUUCUAUCCCUAAACAAAAAAUCAUCAGUUUUGUCUAUUCUGGAAUUUCAAAUAAAUGGGAUCAUAUUGUCUCUGUUCUUUAUCAAUAAAUAGAUAGAUAUCCAUUUA